rnacentral:misc_RNA from 1 species
AGAGGUAAUGAGCACCGGUGGGGAUGUGAUAAGAAUAGGAUCCAGAUAUCCGGAUAGAACCGCAGAAACCAGAUCUAUUUCACUCACCCAAGGCAAGGAACUUUGGUUAGAAAAAGACUUAAAGUUGUUUGAUCCUGCUGGAACUACACAUACCACACGGUCAUUUCCAUUUUUCUCCGAGACCAUUUCAGAAGAAGAAAUGUUGGCACCCCCAACUUCCAGUAAGGACUGCAACCUGCCCUCAAAUUUAUACUUGUUUUCUGGUUCCAGCAAAAAAGCAUAUCCUUUCAAACAACACUCACGGGAUUGAGGAUCUACCACUUGCACGGAAACUCCUUCCAGCAUCAACUUUGGUGCAUGAGAACUGUGGCUUGGAAUAUCGGUGCAAAUAUUUUUUCCUGCAAUUAGCUCGACCCAGCUAUACUGAACCAAGGGUUUUCUAGCGACAAUAGCAUCAAUCAGGUCAUCACUCAGAGGAAAGGAGUCAUCUACAAGCACAUGUGAGCAAUCCAAACUCCACUUCUUAGUUAUACUUGCACCUAUUGAUGAAACCUUCUUUGUAAUAAGUUGAUUUGUUU